rnacentral:rRNA from 1 species
AUACGGAGGGUGCAAGCGUUACUCGGAAUCACUGGGCGUAAAGCGCGCGCAGGCGGUCUUUUAAGUUGGAUGUGAAAGCCUACGGCUCAACCGUAGAACUGCAUCUAAAACUAUUAGACUAGAGUGUGGGAGAGGAAGAUGGAAUUAGUUGUGUAGGGGUAAAAUCCGUAGAGAUAACUAGGAAUACCAAAAGCGAAGGCAAUCUUCUGGAACACUACUGACGCUGAGGCGCGAAAGCGUGGGGAGCAAACAGGAUUAGAUACCCUAGUAGUCC